rnacentral:lncRNA from 1 species
UACGAGGAAAAAGUAGUUGGUUGUAUUGAUUUGUUGAUGAUUACAUAUUUACAAAGGUAGCUAUUUAUAGCCCCAUACAGAUGACUCCUUAACCGACUAGAAUUCUAUCCCUAAUUCAAAUAGAAAACGAAUAUUUACAAGCACGAUUCGUGCUAGGUUGGUUAUUAUACGCUUCAUGGGCCGAUCUCCCCCUUAUCCAUUUAUUCUUCUCCAAGCCCAUACAGGCUCAACUAUCCCA